rnacentral:misc_RNA from 1 species
CGAACACGUAGCUAACAAUCGGGGAUCCAAGCGCGUCUCCCCUGGGGGAGGCCCUUUCUUCCCAACGUCGGGGCGGCUCGUUGCGAGUUAACGACCUCCGGGCCUUCCCGAUGCAACAAAAAACCGGCGCGAAAUGCGCCAAGGAACAUGAAAGAGAGUGCGCUCUUCCGGCGUCAGCUCGCGCUGUGCUCGGACGGGCGUCGUCUUCUUGAUGAGUUUAUAAUGACUCUCGGCAACGGAUAUCUCGGCUCUUACAUCGAUGAAGAACGUAGCAAAAUGCGAUACUUGGUGUGAAUUGCAGAAUCCBGUGAACCAUCGAGUCUUUGAACGCAAGUUGCGCCCGAAUCCAUCUGGUCGAGGGCACGUCUGCCUGGGUGUCACGUACACGCGUCUCCCGCGAACCUYCCCCUUUCGAGGACGAAGGGUCUCGCGGGAGCAGAUAUUGGUAUCCCGUGCCCGUUUCGCGCGGUUUGCCUAAAAACGGAGAGCCUGUGACGAAACGUCACGCCUAGUGGUGGUUAACAAGGCCUAACGGCCGACCAGUUCGUGGCGUGCGCGUUUGUCGCAAGGAAGUCUCAGACGACACCUUGAACGUCCCCUAACGGGGCGUGCUACUGUCGCGACCCCAGGUCAGGCGGGACUACCCGCUGAA